UACGGAGGGGGCAAGCGUUGUUCGGAUUUACUGGGCGUAAAGGGCGCGUAGGCGGCCAGCACAAGUCAGUUGUGAAAUCUCCGGGCUUAACUCGGAAAGGUCAACUGAUACUGUGCGGCUAGAGUGCAGAAGGGGGCAACUGGAAUUCUCGGUGUAGCGGUGAAAUGCGUAGAUAUCGAGAGGAACACCUGCGGCGAAGGCGGGUUGCUGGGCUGACACUGACGCUGAUGCGCGAAAGCCAGGGGAGCGAACGGG
rnacentral:rRNA from 1 species